GAACGGGUGAGUAACACGUGGGCAACCUGCCCAAAAGAGGGGGAUAACACUUGGAAACAGGUGCUAAUACCGCAUAACCAUAGUUACCGCACGGUAACUAUGUAAAAGGUGGCUAUGCUACCGCUUUUGGAUGGGCCCGCGGCGCAUUAGCUAGUUGGUGGGGUAAAGGCUUACCAAGGCAAUGAUGCGUAGCCGAACUGGGAGGUUGAUCGGCCACAUUGGGACUGAGACACGGCCCAAACUCCUACGGGAGGCAGCAGUAGGGAAUCUUCCACAAUGGGCGAAAGCCUGAUGGAGCAACGCCGCGUGGGUGAAGAAGGUCUUCGGAUCGUAAAACCCUGUUGUUAGAGAAGAAGGUGCGUGAGAGUAACUGUUCACGUUUCGACGGUAUCUAACCAGAAAGCCACGGUUAACUACGUGCCAGCAGCCGCGGUAAUACGUAGGUGGCAAGCGUUAUCCGGAUUUAUUGGGCGUAAAGGGAACGCAGGCGGUCUUUUAAGUCUGAUGUGAAAGCCUUCGGCUUAACCGAAGUAGUGCAUUGGAAACUGGGAGACUUGAGUGCAGAGGAGGAGAGUGGAACUCCAUGUGUAGCGGUGAAAUG
rnacentral:rRNA from 1 species